AGAGUUUGAUUAUGGCUCAGGACGAACGCUGGCGGCAUGCUUAACACAUGCAAGUCGAACGGACUGAUUCCUUCGGGAUGAAAGUUAGUGGCGAACGGGUGAGUAAUGUAUGAGCAACCUGCCUCUAUCAACGGGAUAACACUUAGAAAUAGGUGCUAAUACGGUAUAAGACCACGGUAUCGCAUGGUACUGCGGUAAAAGAUUUUAUCGGAUAGAGAUGGGCUCAUAUCCCAUUAGGUAGUUGGUGAGAUAACAGCCCACCAAGCCUGCGAUGGGUAGCCGAGCUGAGAGGCUGAUCGGCCACAUUGGGACUGAAACACGGCCCAG
rnacentral:rRNA from 1 species